AAUCACUGAUUUCAUCAUGUAUUCUGGUAUUCCCCAUCUUCCAUGUUUUCUGCUGCGCUUGUAACUUAGGACGUAACUAAGUUUGAGUGAAGUGAAGCCUUUUGGAGCUGGUUAUGGCCGGAAGCCUGUAACUACCCUACACGAGGUCGCUGGGUACUCGCAGUCAAAAAGAACUAUGCAAGUUUCCACGGCAGUUGCAGAUCCCCCAAGAUCUCCUGGCCGUUCGUUGAGCCCAAUUAAAAGCAAGUCCCUGACUAUCAUCAGAUAAAUCAUCAAGGAUCAACAUGGACUUUGGUUGAGACCAGAUAAUUUAGACCCGGAUUACAGAGAGACGUUACCAAUGACUUGUGGAGUUUAUUACCAACAUCGUCAAGACUAAACCUAUUUAUUUAUUAGUGGAGUUCAACCUGCAGACGGGCCGGCCAGUUUGCAUGUCCUUCACGCUUGAAGGCCACGGGGAUCAUUCCGUAAAACUGUCAUGCGGUGGUGUCGAGGUUGGGUGAGAAUCGUGCAGUGAUGUAGAGGUUGGGUGAGAACGACACGUGUUGCAUCAUUAUG